UUGCGGUGAAUGGGGAUCCCACCACUGCACUCCAGCCUGGGUGACAGCGUAAGACUCUGUCUCAAAAACAAAAGAUUCAUUUCUUAUUGAUAAAGCAAGCUCCUUGGAGAAAGAUCUUGGAACCUCAUUGGGAGUGGAGGUGGGGCUUCUUCAAUCCAGCCGAGCUGGCUGUGAAACCCCCAGGGUUUGGUACCAAGUGAGCUCCAGUCCCAGCUGUGGCUGACUGUGUGAACUUGGCUAUGCAUUCAAGGGCCUCUGAGCCUCAGUUUCCUCAUCUGUAGAAGAGAGCCAGGAACCCGUCAUCCUGGCUAGCAGUGGAAGUCAAAGGUGCUCAUGGAAAGAAUGUCCUUGCUGGCUGGAACAAGGGAGGCCUGAGCUGUGGAAGUCCUUGGAUCAAGGUCCUCCCCACUUCCCGCUGCCUUUUUGGUCCUUCUUGCGUGCUCUUUGUGAUUUAAUGGCUUAGUAGGUUGAAUCAUGUCCCCCCAAAGUUUAUCUCUACCCCAAAUCUCAGAAUGUGACCUUAUUUGGAAAAAGAGUCUUUGCAGAUAAUUAAGGUAAGAGUCAAGAUAAAAUCACACUGAAUUAUGGUGAGCCCUACAUGCAAUGAGACAGUCCUUACAAGAUACAGAAAAGAACACAUAGAGACUUCGGGGGAAAGGAGACUAUGUGCAAGGAUGGCAGAGAUUGGAGCCGAGGGGUGCCUGGGCCUACCAGAGGCUGCAAGAGACAGGGAGGACCCUCCCCUAGAGCCUCCAGGGGGAACAGCCCUGCCCACACCUUGACUUUGGACUCCUGGCCUCCAGAACUGUGAGAGGAAGUCGGCGUGGCUCAGCUCAGUCCAGUUCACAACAAAUAUGAAAUCCCUGCCCUACAGGACCAGGCCUCAGGAAGGGCUUGGGGGCCUCAGAGGCAAAUGAGACCAGGUCCAUCAACCAUACAGAACUGACAACCUGGACUCCCCACUCUGAAGGCACCUACUGUCUCACCCUUCCCUGACUCUGCCCGUGCACAAGGUGACCCCGGCUGCAAGCGUGCCAGGAGCUUUUCUCCACCUCUGCCUCAACAUCUGCCGCCUCUCCUCCUCUGGAGAGGGAGGCAGCUGAAGGACACCAGCCCCACGCCUUGCUGGAGCAGCUGAGAUCGCUGGGAGGAGGUUGGGAGAGGACUCAGGGGCUCAGGCUAGAUCAGGAGGGUGUGCCCUGCCUCCUUGUGAGGGGGCCCAGCACCACGGGGAGCCCACAGUGUAGGGUGCUGUUCAGCCAAAUUGGUUACCACUGGGUGUGAGGUCUGUGGUUGUGCAGGGUUGAAGGGCUGGGUGUCAUUUGCCUCUGAGGCCCCCGAGCCCUUCCUGAGGCCUGGUCCUAUAGGUCAAGGAUGGGCUAUUUGUUGUGAACUGGAUUGCGCUGAGAGCCACACUCAUGUUUAGGGGGAAAUGCCAUUGUACUGGUUUCCUGUGACUGCCCUACAAAUAACCACAAAGAGGCAAGGGGAGAAGUGGGGCUGUCCCUUCCAUAGGGCUGCAGUCAAGCACAAAUGACUCUAAUGGUAUUAAUUUUGAGAGAGAGAGAGAGAUUUGGAGUUCACCACAAAUUCUCCAAACAAACAAUUUUACAAGGAGGACAUGACCCGCCUGGCAUUACUGCUUAGGUCUGAAUGAGUGAUACUGACUGCAGCAGGUGACCAGGCCAAGCCCAGAAAUGGGCCACGGGGACCCCAAGCACAUGCUCUUCCCCCAGACUGCCGCCAUCUUGCUUUUCCUUCAGACCUAGGACCCUACGAGAGGAGGGAUCUGGAGGCCAGGACAGGAGCAGGACAACACAAACAGAGGCCUCAGAAGAAGACUCAGAGUGGGACAGGGGUUCCUUAAGUGACGGGGGCUGGAAGUGCACAGAGAAGCCUGGUGCAGCAGGGAAUUUUCUCUCCCUGGGGUGCUGCCAAGAUGAAGAAACUGAGGUUUAGAGAAGCCACUUGCCCAGUGUAGACAGCGAGAAGGACAGGUCCAGGUCUGCUUGAUGAUGAAGCCUGUGUCUUCUUUGCUGUGUGAUCCUCAUCACGUUAGGGGAUUCCUGAGGAAGCAGAGGAUUUUGCCCUUGCAUUUGAGCCACAGCAGCUCUAUGGAACAGAAGGCGCCGGCGAGAGGCCCUCCUUGUCAGCACCAGGGACAGAUUGCUCAAGAAUCUGUGUGCUCCAAGGCACAAGAGGGGUGCUGUCUCCUUUCCUGGAGUUCCGUCUCAUGCCUACGUUUCAGCCAAGCACCAAAGGCGAUGCUGGCAAGCGGGAGACGGUCCACAGCCACUCACCGGCAGCCAGAAGCCAGGCUCAGGACAGCGAGGCCUCAGCUUACACAGAGGCCACCAAAGAAUGGCCCGGCAGGACAGGACGCCAAACCUCAUUUAUCUGAGCAGUGCAAGGCCGCCUGGCAGCAAAUAAUGAUUUGACCUUAAGCCAACCAAUAAUCCAACCCCUUGCAUCUCUGUGACAUUCUUCUUCCACAUGCCCUUCAGCUCCGUUUCUUCCCUGAACUGCAGGAUGUCUCUGCAAAGCGCAGAGGGUGCAGGGGCUACUGGACCUCCAAGAAGUGAUGGAUUUGGUCUCCAAGUUGAUCCCUUAAGAGAUGGCUGCUGCCCUUUGUGGGUCUCAUCACUGCAAUCUUCUCAUCCUAUCUCCUGGCUCUGAGUCUCAAAUGUUUACUGGCCCAGGGCAAGGACCCAUUCCCAUGGUAUUCUAGAUUCAUGCCAUCCAUCUCCGACUGCACUGCUGGGUGGCAGGACAAUGGCUUUGCAUCUGUGCUUCAUCCCACAGAACCCAGCUUCUGCCUCAGGGAGGAACCAACUGUACUUAUUUCUCUAGAUUCUUUUCCUCCUUCUUGUGGUUCUUUCUAAAAAUAGAGACAGACUGGCAUAACCAACCAGCAAUGAGCACUCCUGUGCCCGGAGGGAUUUUAUUUGUUGCCCCAGAAAGAGAAACUGCUUCUCCCCACCUGGAGCCAGGACCCAGGAGCCAAUGGUGACACAGUAGUGCCUUCACCUGAGCGAGCCUCUCCACUCUGCAUCCUGCCCCACAUUCCGGUCCCUGGUCCCACCCUGGUCCCGCCACC
rnacentral:lncRNA from 1 species